rnacentral:rRNA from 1 species
AAACCAGCACCUCAAGUGGUCAGGAGGAUUAUUGGGCCUAAAGCAUCCGUAGCCUGUUCUAUAAGUUUUCGGUUAAAUCCAUUAGCUCAACUAAUGGGCCGCCGAAAAUACUGUAGAACUAGGGAGUGGGAGAGGUAGACGGUAUUCGGUAGGAAGGGGUAAAAUCCUUUGAUCUAUUGAGGACCACCUGUGGCGAAGGCGGUCUACCAGAACACGUUCGACGGUGAGGGAUGAAAGCUGGGGGAGCAAACCGGAUUAGAAACCCCUGUAGUCC